GCUUGUCACAAACCUUAUCUCGAAUUGGUGUUCUGGAAGCUCAGAUUUCAUGUCUCAGAGCAGAGCAGAUGCAGUUAAGUAAGUCCCUUGAAAAAGAGAGACAGAGAGCAGCUGAAAAUAGGCAGGAAUACCUUGCAGCCAAGGAGGAAGCUGACACUCAAGAAGGUCGUGUGAACCAACUUGAAGGGGAAAUUAAAGAACUCAGGCAGAAACACAAGCAAGAGUUACAAGAUGCCCUGAUUCACAGGGAGCUUCUACAGCAGGAAAUUGAGAGGG
rnacentral:misc_RNA from 1 species